GUCUACAGCCAUGCCACCCUGAACAAGCCCAAUGUCUGAUCUCAGAAGCUAAGCAGGGUCAGGCCUGGUCGGUACUUGGAGGGGAGACUGCCUAGGAAGACCAGGUGCUAUAGGUA
rnacentral:rRNA from 1 species